AGUCGAACGGUAACAGGCCGCAAGGUGCUGACGAGUGGCGAACGGGUGAGUAAUGCAUCGGAACGUGCCCAGUAGUGGGGGAUAGCCCGGCGAAAGCCGGAUUAAUACCGCAUACGACCUGAGGGUGAAAGGGGGGGAUCGCAAGACCUCUCGCUAUUGGAGCGGCCGAUGUCAGAUUAGCUAGUUGGUGGGGUAAAGGCCUACCAAGGCAACGAUCUGUAGUUGGUCUGAGAGGACGACCAGCCACACUGGGACUGAGGCACGGCCCAGACUCCUACGGGAGGCAGCAGUGGGGAAUUUUGGACAAUGGGCGCAAGCCUGAUCCAGCAAUGCCGCGUGCAGGAAGAAGGCCUUCGGGUUGUAAACUGCUUUUGUCAGGGAAGAAAUCUUCUGGGUUAAUACCUCGGGAGGAUGACGGUACCUGAAGAAUAAGCACCGGCUAACUACGUGCCAGCAGCCGCGGUAAUACGUAGGGUGCGAGCGUUAAUCGGAAUUACUGGGCGUAAAGCGUGCGCAGGCGGCUUUGCAAGACAGAGGUGAAAUCCCCGGGCUCAACCUGGGAACUGCCUUUGUGACUGCAAGGCUAGAGUACGGCAGAGGGGGAUGGAAUUCCGCGUGUAGCAGUGAAAUGCGUAGAUAUGCGGAGGAACACCAAUGGCGAAGGCAAUCCCCUGGGCCUGUACUGACGCUCAUGCACGAAAGCGUGGGGAGCAAACAGGAUUAGAUACCCUGGUAGUCCACGCCCUAAACGAUGUCAACUGGUUGUUGGACGGCUUGCUGUUCAGUAA
rnacentral:rRNA from 1 species